rnacentral:rRNA from 1 species
GAUGAACGCUGGCGGCGUGCUUAACACAUGCAAGUCGAACGGGAUCCAAGGGGUGCUUGCACUUUUUGGUGAGAGUGGCGAACGGGUGAGUAACACGUGAGUAACCUGUCCUUCUCUUUGGGAUAAGCAUUCGAAAGGGUGUUUAAUACCUUAUGUUCUGUCUGCCUCGCAUGGGGUGGGUGGGAAAGGCUUUGGCCGGAUUUGGGUGGGCUCGCGGUCUAUCAGCUUGUUGGUGGGGUGAUGGCUUACCAAGGCUUUGACGGGUAGCCGGCCUGAGAGGGUGGUCGGUCACAUUGGGACUGAGAUACGGCCCAGACUCCUGCGGGAGGCAGCAGUGGGGGAUAUUGCACAAUGGGCGAAAGCCUGAUGCAGCGACGCCGCGUGGGGGAUGAAGGCCUUCGGGUUGUAAACUUCUUUUGCUCUGAACAAGGCAUGCCAGUGGGUGUGUUGAGUGUAGGGGUUGAUUAGCGCCGGCUAACUACGUG